GAUGAACGCUAGCGGCAGGCCUAACACAUGCAAGUCGAGGGGUAGAAGGAGCUUGCUCCUUUGAGACCGGCGCACGGGUGCGUAACGCGUAUGCAAUCUACCUUAUACAGGGGAAUAGCCCAGAGAAAUUUGGAUUAAUGCCCCAUGGUAUUAUUGAAUGGCAUCAUUUGAUAAUUAAAGUUCCAACGGUAUAAGAUGAGCAUGCGUCCCAUUAGUUAGUUGGUAAGGUAACGGCUUACCAAGACUAUGAUGGGUAGGGGUCCUGAGAGGGAGAUCCCCCACACUGGUACUGAGACACGGACCAG
rnacentral:rRNA from 1 species